UACGUAGGGUGCAAGCGUUGUCCGGAAUUAUUGGGCGUAAAGCGCGUGUAGGCGGCCAUGUAGGUCUGACGUGAAAUUCCGAGGCUCAACCUCGGCAGGUCGUUGGAAACCAUAUGGCUAGAGUCCGGAAGAGGAGAGUGGAAUUCCUGGUGUAGCGGUGAAAUGCGCAGAUAUCAGGAAGAACACCAAUGGCGAAGGCAGCUCUCUGGGACGGUACUGACGCUAAGACGCGAAAAGCGUGGGGAGCGAACAGG
rnacentral:rRNA from 1 species